GACGAACGCUGGCGGCGUGCUUAACACAUGCAAGUCGAACGAAAAGGCCCUGCUUUUGUUGGGUGCUCGAGUGGCGCACGGGUGAGUAACACGUGUGUAACCUGCCCUUGACUUUGGGAUAACUUCAGGAAACUCGGGCUCAUACCGGAUAGGAUCUCCUGCUGCAUGGUGGGGGUUGGAAAGUUUCGGCGGUUGUGGAUGGACUCGCUGCUUAUCAGCUUGUUGGUGUGGUAGUUGCUUACCAAGGCUAUGACGGGUAGGCUGCCUGGGAGGGUUACCGGGCACAUUGGGACUGAGAGACGGCGCAGAAGCCAACGGGAGGCAGCAGUGGGGAAUAUUGCACAAUGGGCGGAAGUGAGAUGCAGAAACGCCGCGUGCGGGAUAACGGCCUACGGGUUGUAAACCGCUUUCGCCUGUGACGAAGCGUGAGUGACGGUAAUGGGUAAAGAAGCACCGGCUAACUACGUG
rnacentral:rRNA from 1 species